AUACUCCAAGCUUGGUGGUCCAGCCUGGUUCCAUUUCUUGUUCCAGAUCACUGUCUUUCUGCUCAGCUGAAACUGUCUGGGCCCAAGUCAUCAUAUUUGGCUGAAGACUUCUUCUGAUGUUAGUCCUGCAAAUUAGAACUGGUUUGGAAACCGUCCACUGCUUGUGAUUCCGACAGCUGAGUUGUUAUGAGGGGGACAUGAUUUGAGUUCCCACAGCUCCCUUCAUCAGGAGAGAGAGACCUGUAACAGUUGUUCUGCCUUGUGGAAAGAAAACUGUGAUGCAGUUCCUCACGUGUUGGUGGAGCAGGGAACCCAAUGUGG